rnacentral:rRNA from 1 species
CUACCCUUAAGCUGGGGAUAACUUCGGGAAACUGAAGGUAAAACCCAAUAGAAGAUGUUUUCUGGAAUGAGAUCUCUUCAAAACUAACUUAAGGAUGAGUCUGCGGCUGAUUAGGUCUGUUGGCGGGGUAAUGGCCCACCAAGCCGUUGAUCAGUAAGGGCUCUUAGUGGAGAGGCCCUGAGAGGGAGUCUGAGACACUACUCCCAGCCCUACGGGGUGCAGCAGUUGGGGAUUUUUUGCAAUGCGCGAAAGCGUGACAGAGCGAGCCAGAGUGUUAUUCCAUUUGGAAUAACUUUUGCCAGCUGUAAAUAGGCUGGCGAAUAAGGACUGGGCAAGACCGGUGCCAGCCGCCGCGGUAAUCCCGGCGGUCCAAGUCGCAGCCAACAUUAUUGGGUCUAAAACAUCCGUAGCUUGCCUCGCCAGUCUGUUGUGAAAUUCUGUCUCUUAAGGGCAGAGAUUGCAAUGGAUACUACGAGGCUAGAGACCGGGGGACGUAAGAAGUACAUCUAAGGAAGUGGUAAAAUACGUUAAUCUUAGAUGGACUACCAACAGCGCAGGCAUCUUACGAUAACGGCUCUGACAGUGAGGGAUGAAGGCUAGGGGCGCAAAAUGGAUUAGAUACCCAUGCAGUCCUAGCAGUAAACACUGUACACUAAACUUUGUGACCUCCUCGAGAGGUUGCAGAGCUGCAGCGAAGGCGAAGAGUGUACUACCUGGGAAGUAUAGCCGCAAGGCCGAAACUUAAAGGAAUUGGCGGGGGAGCACA